rnacentral:sRNA from 1 species
AACCGCAUCAGUUACUAGUGAUUGUUAAACUCAACACUAAUAACAUACCGAGUAAGCUAUCUUUUUUAAGGACAGGCCUCGCCCUUCGGGGAUAUCGAAAGAUACGGAGGAUCUUCGCGAUUGAGAUGCACUCAAAUUCCUGUUUUCUAGGAGUUUAAUUAGUCUCAACUGGUGCGGCUCCCAUA